CUAGCCCUAAACGAUGUUUACUUGGUGUCGGUGGCCUAAUCGCCAUCGGUAUCGAAGCUAACGCGAUAAGUAAACCGCCUGGGGACUACGGCCGCAAGGUUAAAACUCAAAGGAAUUGACGGGUCCCCGCACAAGCAGCGGAGCGUGUGGUUUAAUUCGUUGCUACGCGAAGAACCUUACCUGGGUUUGACAUAGCAGUGGUAGGGAAACGAAAGUGGACCGACCCUUCGGGGAGCUGUUACAGGUGU
rnacentral:rRNA from 1 species